rnacentral:RNase_P_RNA from 1 species
GGAGACGACGGGGCAAUCGCCGGCCGCCGCCCCCCGGGGCGGCAGCGGGAGGAAAGUCCGGGCGCCGCAGGACAGGGUGGUGGGUAACGCCCACCGGUCGCGAGACCAGGGAAAGUGCCACAGAAAGUAAACCGCCGGGGAGGCUGUCGGCUAUUAGCUAUUGGCUCUCGGUCAGAGAGAAGAACUGGGGACCAAACUCAGUUUCGUCUGGCCGACAGCCGAAGGCCGAGAGCCGACAGCCUUCCAGGUAAGGGUGAAACGGUGCGGUAAGAGCGCACCAGCAGGCGGGGCGACUCGCCUGGCUCGGUAAACCCCACCCGACGCAAGGCCAAGCAGGGAGCAGAGUCGGUCCGGCUCGUUACGACUCUCGGGUAGGCUGCUAGAGGCGACGGGCAACCGUCGUCGUAGAGGAAUGAUUGCCGGCCGCCGCGCCCCUCGGGGCGUCGCGGUCACAGAACCCGGCUUACAAGUCGUCUCCGCGU